CAUUGUGACAUUGAUUGGUGAUCAUCCUUCCUACUGUGAACUCAAAUCAGGCAUCCACACAUUGGGGCUGUCCACACCUCAGGACUGUCUUCAGUGGUUUGCAUUGCUGGGAUUGCUGCUGAUUGAAGGAACUAAGCAUUGUUUUCAGAGUGGUGGGUCCCAUCGGGGCCCUCUGAUUUUCCUGGGCAGCUCCAUCUAGGAGUAGGAAAUCAGGCACUUAAUAUCAAUGCAGGAAACAGACACACAACUUUUACCCACAUCUGUUGUUCUGCAUCUCUCCUUCCACUUGAAAGAUUGUAAGCAGGUGAUUGUCAGACCAACAAUAAAUGUCACUCAGAGAGCAUGCAUCCAUAUGGCAAGUAGUGAGACCAUUUGAUGUACAACAGAUGGCUGUAUAUGAGCAUUUAAGACACUUGAGAGAAUAUAGAACAUCAGGGAGACUAUUGUGAUGGUUAUCAGGAGGAUAAUACUAAGAGAGUGAAGUGUAUUCCUUAACAGAGGCCACCAUGAACCAAAACAAUUAUAAUAAAAUGAAUCAAAAAAAUGAGCCAGAAGAGGAAUCUACUUGUU